CCAGGAAGUCCCGGGUGGGUAGAUGUCGCACCCGGAAGUGAAGCGGCUCCUUGACGGAGCGGCGGCGUGCGCGGUAGGGUCCUAGUUAUCCAGCAGUUUUUUUGGAGGAAACCACCACGUCUGAUCGGCGCUGCAAGUGAGGCUACUGACCAUGGCCCUUUCUGUGGAGACCGAGUCGCACAUCUACCGAGCUCUGCGCACUGCUUCUGGGGCUGCAGCCCACCUUGUGGCCCUGGGCUUUACCAUCUUUGUGGCUGUGCUCGCCAGGCCUGGUUCCAGCCUGUUUUCCUGGCACCCUGUGCUUAUGUCUCUGGCUGUAAGUAGUGGGUAUGGGCAGCUCUCAUGGGUGGGAGCAUGGGUAUGGGUGGUGACCCUGAUAGCCUUUGACUCCUUGUGGACAUUUAGUGUCUAUUUGGAGGAGUUGCAUGCUUCAACUCUUGUCUGGAUAUGUUCCUGACUUGAAUCAUAGUAUUUGAGACCCAGUAUAGCUGGGUGUGGUGGUGUAUACCUGUAAUCCUAGCUAGUGGGGAGGCUGAGACAAGAGGAUUGCAAGUUCAAGGCCAAUCUUGGCAACUUAGUGAAACCCUAUCUC